ACGACCGCCACCACCGCACGUCGUCACGUCUCCUCUCACGGUUGCGCCAAAAGCGCGGCCGGGUCGAUUUUUUAUUUUUUGUCUUACAAAUGGAUCGUUUUUGAACCGGCAAUAUUUAAUCAAGGAUCGACCUCGUUGCACUAUCACCGUCACACAAGGACCGCUGACCAUAGCAAAGCGGAAACAUAAUAACCCUAUUUACUAACAAACAAAAUGACUGGGACAUUCACACCGAAACCGUACGCGGUUCAAAGAAGCAGCGUUGGCGGUGUAUUGCAAAAAACUCAUCUACGAGCAUCUAUAAGGAUGGAGGUUGGCCGUUGGUUGAAAGAAGAAGAAACAUGAGUUGUCUUAUAACAAAUGCGAUGUUUCUUUCAGACUCACCUUAACACCCCACCCCCCCCCCCUCCUGACAAAAACCUUCCUUGAUCCUUUCUUCUGUUUUAUUGUUCUUAUUAUUCUAUUAUUUUACUCUACCAAGAAUAACAAAAUGUUAUAAACAUAUGAUUAAGAUUAAGUCGUUAGUUGUGACCAAAAUCGUUAAGUUAGACGGACGCGAUUCUGGUUUUUGAUUUUGGAAAGCAAAAAGCCAGUCGAAUUAUUUUUUUUGCAUUUCUUUAAUUGUUCGAUUCGAAAAGACUGAUUUCGUUACCGUGUACGUAGGUAAAUAUUAUUGUUUUUUUUUUUUAAUUUCAUUAAGCGCUAAUUUAAGUAAUGUUGUUAAUAUAAGUAAACACGAACGUGUCAUGCGUGUCGUUGUAAAAGCAAUGAAAUCACCAUGUCUUCCAUUAAAUAUAGUAUUACUUAGUCAGUAAGGAAAUUAGAUAAUAAUAUGUAGUAUCUAGUUAAACUAUUGUUCGUUUAUUUGUGCAAGUUAACUUUAAAACUUGAAGAGCUCUGCGCAAAAAUCUGAUGACUGAUUUUUAAAAAUAUUUUAGGAUAACAUAAAGUUAGGUAAACUGAUAACAGUAGGUAAUUAUUUUUUUAAAUUUUGAUACACAUACGUAUCAAAAUAUUUUAAACAAAAAUACCUUUUAGAAUCUUGGACAUGAAAUCUAUUCAAGCCUCUGAUUUUUGUGCAGAACCUUUUACAAUACGUUAAUAAUUUAUGUUAUUUAAGUUAAUAAUAAAAUGUAUCUUUAUGUAUUUAAUUUAUAUUAAAUUAAAAAAAAAACUGGCCCUAUCAAUGGGGAGUGACGUUUGACAAUAAAACAAUUUUAAGUUCACUUGCCGGCAUAUAUGUUACGCAUAUAUGUUAGGCACAUACGACACUUAAUUGAUAUUAAUAAUAAUAAAUUAUUAAAUUUAAAUUAAUAAUAUUGUACUUCAAAUGUAUAAUAAUAGUUAUUGAAUUAUGAGUGUGAGGGAGUUGUUGAAGAAAAAAAAAUAGUAAAAUAAUUAAUUAAACUUUUGUUUUUGAAAUCAUAAUAAAAUAACAUAUAUAAUUAAUAAGUGUAAGUACUUAUAAUGAUAAAUUAAUAUCGAUAUUAUAUUUUAACUGCAUUAAAAGUAUAAUAUUUGAAGUGUUCCUCAAAGUACUCUCCUAAAAAAUCACUUUUGUUCUUUUUAGUUUUUAUUAUCAAUAUAAGUUUUAAAUAAGUAGAUUUAACAUAAUAUGUAUUAAUUGUUACAUAAAUUAUUAUGUAUACAUUUUGACUACAAUAAGGCCUUAGUUACUAAUGUAAUAAUAUUAUUACCCACAUAGGUAUUAAUUCUAGUAUUCAUAAUUGUUAAACAGAAACGAGGCUAUUAGGUACCUUUUGGUCAGUUUUAGUCGCAAAUAUUAUAUUUAUAUUUAUGUAUAUUAGACCGUAAGUUGUGACUUAAAUACUAGCAUUGAUCCUGCAAAGAAUGCUUACAUCAGUUGCCCAAACAAAUUUUUAAUUAUAUUCCAAACAAAUUUUACAAUUAGUUAAAAAUAAAGUAAAUGGCUAACUUUAUAUUGUUUAAACAUUAUUGAAAUACUGUAAAUACUGGACAGGAGAAUAGUCUACCAUACCGUCUUCUAAGCACGUCGGAAAUGCAAUGCACCACAUGCCGACCGAACUAAGAUCUACUUUAGGUUUUGUAUAAAAUGAAAUAAAAUACUGAAAAAAUGUUUAUUAUAGACUUAGAAUAUUUGUAAGCCAUUUAAUUUCUGACUAACAAGUGAUUAUUUUUUAUAAAAUGUAGCCCAACUUCAUAAUAUGAAAAUUAUAAUUGGAUUUUUAUUAAUUUCAAAUAUUGCAUUUGUUUACAUCAUUGUAUCCACAUUGCUUUUAAUAGUUUUAUGUUGUAAGUAUUUUUACGAUUAACUAUAUCGAUACUUUUUAAUAUUACAUUUA